rnacentral:tRNA from 1 species
GCCUUCGUGGUGUAGUGGUCAGCACACUCGACGUGCAUUGGAGAGGUCCGUGGUUCAAGUCCCGGUGAGGGCA